GUUGGCCCAACGUGAUGGCUAAACGUUGGCACAACGUUGUAAGGUUUUAUACCGUGAAUACAUUGGCCCAACGUUGGUCCAAUGAUGGAAUAAUACUUGCUGAUGUUGAACAAACGUUAGGCCAACGUAGUAAUACAAACUGUUAGCAAACGUUGGAACUCCGUUGGUUCAAUCUAUAAACCUUUUUAUCCAUAUGAAGGAUACUAAAAUCCCUUCCAGGCAACAACUGCAAUAACUCCUGGUUCUAACAUCAGUUCAAAAUGGCGAAACGAUUACUUUUUUAAAUGUUGCAAUUAUUGCGUUUUUCAUAUCCACUAUACCAUGUUGUGUCUUACAUACUACCCGAAAAUUUUGUAUUUUGCCACUUUCUCUCCAUCUUCCUGAACAUGUAUGAAAUAUUUGCCAAUGGACGUUUCAGUAACCAACAACCAA
rnacentral:lncRNA from 1 species